UACGUAGGGUGCAAGCGUUGUCCGGAAUUAUUGGGCGUAAAGAGCUCGUAGGCGGUUUGUUGCGUCGGCUGUGAAAUCCCGAGGCUCAACCUCGGGUCUGCAGUCGAUACGAGAAAACUAGAGUGUUGCAGGGGAGACUGGAAUUCCUGGUGUAGCGGUGAAAUGCGCAGAUAUCAGGAGGAACACCGGUGGCGAAGGCGGGUCUCUGGGCAACAACUGACGCUGAGGAGCGAAAGCGUGGGGAGCGAACAGG
rnacentral:rRNA from 1 species